GAAAAAUGGAAGAGACAUGCCAAAUACAUGUUGAGAAAGCUGUGGUGAACUGGUGUAGUUGACUCCUUCGUGCCUGCACCACAGGUGCUCCCAGUGAUGGUCUAAGUACUAGUACUUAAGUUAAGAUCUUUUCCACUGACUGUUGACCAUAAGAUCAGGUGUAUGUAGAGAACUCCAGUCAUUUACACUACUUACACCAAACACCUGACCCCUGCGUUUGGAUCUUGAAAGUGGAAUAUUUAAUUUGUAACUACUCUCUUGUUGUUUUUCUGACCAAACACAGAAAAACAAGUCAGUUAACUGCAUCGACAGUACUACAUACUCACUCACAUUCACUAUCCGGUUUAUUGUCUAAAUACUAAAUAAUAUUUGCUAGACAGCAUAGGUUGUACGAUGGCGAUUACUAGAUUACUGUAAACAUUCACACUGUGAUAGAAAACAUACAAGCACCGUUAAACAUAAACUUACUGUGUUAACACACAAACAGCUCUGCAAUCAAAG